CAGUCGCCACGGUAAUACGGAGGGGGCUAGCGUUGUUCGGAAUUACUGGGCGUAAAGCGCACGUAGGCGGCUUGGUAAGUUAGAGGUGAAAGCCUGGAGCUCAACUCCAGAAUUGCCUUUAAGACUGCCGAGCUAGCAGGUGAGAGAGGUAAGUGGAAUUCCGAGUGUAGAGGUGAAAUUCGUAGAUAUUCGGAAGAACACCAGUGGCGAAGGCGGCUUACUGGCUCAUACUGGACGCUGAGGUGCGAAAGCGUGGGGAGCAAACAGGAUUAGAUACCCGAGUAGUCCCUGUCUCUUAUAA
rnacentral:rRNA from 1 species